rnacentral:rRNA from 1 species
GCUCAGGACGAACGCUGGCGGCGUGCUUAACACAUGCAAGUCGAACGGAAAGGCCCUGCUUUUGUGGGGUGCUCGAGUGGCGAACGGGUGAGUAACACGUGAGUAACCUGCCCUUGACUUUGGGAUAACUUCAGGAAACUGGGGCUAAUACCGGAUAGGAGCUCCUGCUGCAUGGUGGGGGUUGGAAAGUUUCGGCGGUUGGGGAUGGACUCGCGGCUUAUCAGCUUGUUGGUGGGGUAGUGGCUUACCAAGGCUUUGACGGGUAGCCGGCCUGAGAGGGUGAUCGGCCACAUUGGGACUGAGAUACGGCCCAGACUCCUACGGGAGGCAGCAGUA